rnacentral:tRNA from 1 species
AAAGAAUUAGUUAAUUAAUAACAUCAGUAUGUCAAGCUGAAAUAACCGAAGUCAAAGGUAUUCUUUU